rnacentral:snRNA from 1 species
GUGCUUACUUCGGCAGCACAUAUACUAAAAUUAGAACGAUACAGAGAAGAUCAGCAUGGCCCCUGCACAAGGAUGACACGCAAAUUCAUGAAGUGUUCCAUAUUAAA